GAUGAACGCUGGCGGCGUGCUUAACACAUGCGAGUCGAACGAGAAGUGAAGACGGAAACCUUCGGGCGGAAGGCUUUAUUUCGAGUGGCGGACGGGUGAGUAACGCGUGGGUAACCUGCCUCAUACAGGGGGAUAACAGUUGGAAACGACUGUUAAUACCGCAUAAGACCACAGCACCGCAUGGUGCGGGGGUAAAAACUCCGGUGGUAUGAGAUGGACCCGCGUUCGAUUAGCCAGUUGGCGGGGUAACGGCCCACCAAAGCGACGAUCGAUAGCCGAUCUGAGAGGAUGACCGGCCACAUUGGGACUGGGACACGGCCCAAACUCCUACGGGAGGCAGCAGUGGGGAAUAUUGCACAAUGGGGGAAACCCUGAUGCAGCGACGCCGCGUGAGUGAAGAAGUAUUUCGGUAUGUAAAGCUCUAUCAGCAGGGAAGAAAAUGACGGUACCUGAGGAAGAAGCCCCGGCUAACUACGUG
rnacentral:rRNA from 1 species